CCAGACUCCUACGGGAGGCAGCAGUGGGGAAUAUUGCACAAUGGGGGAAACCCUGAUGCAGCGACGCCGCGUGAGUGAAGAAGUACUUCGUUAUGUAAAGCUCUAUCAGCAGGGAAGAAAAUGACGGUACCUGAGUAAGAAGCCCCGGCUAACUACGUGCCAGCAGCCGCGGUAAUACGUAGGGGGCAAGCGUUAUCCGGAUUUACUGGGUGUAAAGGGAGCGUAGACGGCAGUGCAGGUCUGGAGUGAAAGGCGGGGGCGCAACCCCCGGACUGCUCUGUAAACUGCACGGCUGUAGUGCAGGAGAGGUAAGUGGAAUUCCUAGUGUAGCGGUGAAAUGCGUAGAUAUUAGGAGGAACACCAGUGGCGAAGGCGGCGUAC
rnacentral:rRNA from 1 species